AAUAAACAAAGAGAUUGCGGGAUGUUGUUUACGUGUGUCACUCGACACUGACUGCAAGAAACAAAGAGUGGAGAGCUAAUGCAUGGUGCUAAGUAUGGAAAAGUCUCUUGUGGUUUGGUUGUGCCAGAGACAAAUGUACAUUAUUUCCAUGUUGGGUCAGAAGUCUCGGUACACUUUGGGUGAGUGGCAGUUGGGAAGAUGGAUGACCUUCAGAUAGUUUGAGAUGAAGAAGUUCUUUUAAAUGAUUGAAAGUGAUCAUCAUAGAAUCAACUCCAUUAUGAAGAUAAAUUAUGAGCAAGGCAGCACUCCUUUUGUCCAACAUCUGAGAGAUCUGAGUACCCAGCCUACUGUUGAAUUAAUUGGUGAC